ACAAGCCUGACGAUGCAUCCGCGCUCUGCUAGCGUAAGUGCCUGUUAUAAACUACACAGUCGCUUGACCUCAUUUUAAACUCUGAAAAUGUUCCUAAGAAGUUCCCCUGACUUUGAGUGAGUCCGUUCUUUUACUGCGCGACCAUUAAGCCAAACAGCCGUUAAGCUAGCAUCUAUAACGUGACAAAUAGCAUGACGUCGCGAGCGAAAUGUUCCCGAGUUUCCACUUUGCGUCGGUAAAAACACCGCGGGCGCUGAAGCACGACCAUGUAAACAAGUGCUUCCUUCAAUUAGCCUCUCUGCCAAGAGUGUCACCACGAUCUCUCAUCAGCAGCAAGAAUGGUCUCAGCUGUGGCGCAGACACAUUAGCCGAGCCGUCAGCGUCAUGACUGCCAUCAGUAACGGAAGUACCUGUUGACCUGGCAAGGCUCGUGAGGGACAGAGAUGAGAGGAGACAAGCCUGGGGAGGAAGCACGGAGCAUGGCCCACAUCAGACUGGCUGUGUGCUGUCUUUGCUGGAGUCCAACCUGAUGUGAUCAAUAAACUUUGAGGGUUGGAUCAGUUUGCACUCGCAAGGUCAAGAAAGUAACUCUCCUCAAGGGUUGAGAGCAAUUCUUGAAGAGAAGUGGAUGGGUGUCCCAGGUAUAUCAAGAAGUCAUCUGCAAACAUGGCAAUUUUAUGUUCUCCAUGAGCUAAUCGGAUCCCUUUUAUCUUCCCAUUCUGUCUUAUCCACUGACCGAGAGGCUCUAUAAAGAUGGCAAAUAAGAGUGGAGAGAUAGGACAGCCCUGUCUACACCCCCUUUCUAAUUUAAAAGAAUUUGAUAGUCCUCCAUUAAUCCUUAUUUGAGUAAAUGGUUUGUCAUAUAAUUUUUGUACUGUCUUCAAAAAAUUUUUAUGAAAUUGAAAUCUCUCUAGUACCUUGUAUAGAAAAAAACAGUUAACUGAGUCAGAUGCCUUUUCCGCAUCCAACCCCAGUGAGACAGCCUCUAAAUUGUAUUUAUUUACAUGAUUAAUUAUGUGUAAUGUCCGUCUAACAUU